rnacentral:miRNA from 1 species
UGGGCUAGGAAAAAUGAUUGGA